UCGUUCCUACGGGGCGCAGCAGUGGGGAAUAUUGCACAAUGGGGGGAACCCUGAUGCAGCGACGCCGCGUGGGCGAUGGAGUAUUUCGGCAUGUAAAGCCCUCUCGGCAGGGGAGAAAAUGACAGUACCUGACUAAGAAGCCCCGGCUAACUACGUGCCAGCAGCCGCGGUAAUACGUAGGGGGCAAGCGUUAUCCGGAUUCACUGGGCGUAAAGGGAGCGCAGGCGGCACGGCAAGCCUGGUGUGGAAACCCGGGGCCCAACCCCGGGAGGGCAGUGGGAACUGGC
rnacentral:rRNA from 1 species